rnacentral:rRNA from 1 species
CCUACGGGUGGCAGCAGUGGGGAAUAUUGGGCAAUGGAGGAAACUCUGACCCAGCAACGCCGCGUGAAUGAUGAAGGUCUUCGGAUUGUAAAGUUCUUUUCUAAGGGAAGAAGAAAGUGACGGUACCUUAGUACUAAGCCUCGGCUACCUACGUGCCAGCAGCCGCGGUAAUACGUAGGGGGCAAGCGUUAUCCGGAAGGACUGGGCGUAAAGGGUGCGUAGGUGGUUUGACAAGUUGGUAGCGUAACUCCGGGGCUCAACCUCGGCACUACUACCAAAACUGUCGGACUGGAGUGCGGGAGGGGCAGGUGGAAUUCCUAGUGUAGCGGUAGAAUGCGUAGAUAUUAAGAGGAACACCAGUGGCGAAGGCGAUUUGCUGGACUGUAACUGACACUGAGGCACGAAAGCGUGGGGAGCAAACAGGAUUAGAUACCCUUUUAGUC